GAGAGAGUGCGGCGGCGGCGGCCACAGAGAGAGAGAGAGAGAGAAGGCGGCGUCGGGACGGGCCGGAGAAGGAGAGAGAGAGAGAGAGAGAGAGAGAGAGAGAGAGAGAGAGAAAGAAAGCGAAGAGAAAAAGAGAUCGAGCGAGAGAGGAAGGAGGGAGCUCUGGCGGGGAGGAUAUACCAAAGGAACACGGUGAAUGGUUCACCGUGUUUGGACACAGUGAACCA
rnacentral:lncRNA from 1 species